AUGCACUUCAGCAGCCUGUUCUAUGACUCGGCAUCAUCGGAGAACUUUUCUGGUCAUCCCGGUGUUGAGAGAUGCCCAUUCCUGAGGAAUAUCAAUGGAGCCACAACCUUUUCAUUUUCUUCUGCUUUGCCUGUAGCUGCUCGGGGAAGCAAGGGCCUGAUCUUUGAGGAUGGACCAGGCUUUGAGUCGGCAUUCAAGCUUUUCCAUGGACAGGAUGGGAUAGUUCCCCUUUCAGGAAGAUCAUAUGUGCCUGAUGAGAACUGUAGUGAGAUCACUGAAAGGGGAACUAUCAGCAUUUGGACCAUUCGGGUUUAA
rnacentral:rRNA from 1 species